GCUCCUGUGGCGCAAUCGGUUAGCGCGUGGUACUUAUAAUGCCGAGGUUGUUGUGAGUUCGACCCUCACCAGGAGCA